AUUCAUUUGUAGUUCAUAAGCAUGAUGAUAUAGGAUAUUCAUGCUGUUGUGUGGUGACAUGUACCUCCCUCAAAUCUUGCUACAACCUUGGCACGUUACCUGUCUAACA
rnacentral:snoRNA from 2 species